rnacentral:tRNA from 1 species
GCGGGAAUAGCUCAGUUGGUAGAGCACGACCAUUGCCAAGGUCGGGGUCGCGAGUUCGAGUCUCGUUUCCCGCUCCA